rnacentral:rRNA from 1 species
UCCUGGCUCAGGAUGAACGCUGGCGGCGUGCUUAACACAUGCAAGUCGAACGAUGAUCUCCAGCUUGCUGGGGGGAUUAGUGGCGAACGGGUGAGUAACACGUGAGUAACCUGCCCUUGACUCUGGGAUAAGCCUGGGAAACUGGGUCUAAUACUGGAUACGACCUUCCCACGCAUGUGGUGUUGGUGGAAAGCUUUUGUGGUUUUGGAUGGACUCGCGGCCUAUCAGCUUGUUGGUGGGGUAAUGGCCUACCAAGGCGACGACGGGUAGCCGGCCUGAGAGGGUGGACGGCCACACYGGGACUGAGACACGGCCCAGACUCCUACGGGAGGCAGCAGUGGGGAAUAUUGCACAAUGGGCGCAAGCCUGAUGCAGCGACGCCGCGUGAGGGAUGAAGGCCUUCGGGUUGUAAACCUCUUUCAGUAGGGAAGAAGCGAAAGUGACGGUACCUGCAGAAGAAGCGCCGGCUAACUACGUGCCAGCAGCCGCGGUAAUACGUAGGGCGCAAGCGUUAUCCGGAAUUAUUGGGCGUAAGAGCUCGUAGGCGGUUUGUCGCGUCUGCCGUGAAAGUCCGGGGCUUAACUCCGGAUCUGCGGUGGGUACGGGCAGACUUGAGUGAUGUAGGGGAGACUGGAAUUCCUGGUGUAGCGGUGAAAUGCGCAGAUAUCAGGAGGAACACCGAUGGCGAAGGCAGGUCUCUGGGCAUUAACUGACGCUGAGGAGCGAAAGCAUGGGGAGCGAACAGGAUUAGAUACCCUGGUAGUCCAUGCCGUAAACGUUGGGCACUAGGUGUGGGGGACAUUCCACGUUUUCCGCGCCGUAGCUAACGCAUUAAGUGCCCCGCCUGGGGAGUACGGCCGCAAGGCUAAAACUCAAAGGAAUUGACGGGGGCCCGCACAAGCGGCGGAGCAUGCGGAUUAAUUCGAUGCAACGCGAAGAACCUUACCAAGGCUUGACAUGAACCGGAACGGCGCAGAGAUGUGUCGGCCACUUGUGGCCGGUUUACAGGUGGUGCAUGGUUGUCGUCAGCUCGUGUCGUGAGAUGUUGGGUUAAGUCCCGCAACGAGCGCAACCCUCGUUCCAUGUUGCCAGCGGGUUAUGCCGGGGACUCAUGGGAGACUGCCGGGGUCAACUCGGAGGAGGUGGGGACGACGUCAAUCAUCAUGCCCCUUAUGUCUUGGCUUCACGCAUGCUACAUGACCGGUACAAAGGUUGCGAUGCUGUGAGUGAGCUAUCCCAAAAGCCGGU